rnacentral:rRNA from 1 species
UACGUAGGGUGCGAGCGUUGUCCGGAAUUAUUGGGCGUAAAGGGCUCGUAGGCGGUUUGUCGCGUCGGGAGUGAAAACACCGGGCUUAACUCGGUGCUGGCUUUCGAUACGGGCAGACUAGAGGUAUGCAGGGGAGAACGGAAUUCCUGGUGUAGCGGUGAAAUGCGCAGAUAUCAGGAGGAACACCGGUGGCGAAGGCGGUUCUCUGGGCAUGUCCUGACGCUGAGGAGCGAAAGUGUGGGGAGCGAACAGG